ACGUUAGCUACCGGCAAAUGCUCCCCCACUUUCAUUUCAAAUUUGAAUUGAAUCGCUAAAUGUUUUUAAAUCCUAACUUAUUGUACCAAGUAAAAUCAUUUUAAUUAAAAUGCAAAAAUUCAUAAAGGUUUAAAUUUUUUAUGCCAUUAUCCAAAAAUAUAUUAAAUGUCAUGAAAUACAUGAUAAUAGUUAAUUGACAAAAUGAGAGAAGCACCACGGUACUUCUCCAUUUCGGUUAGUCAAAUAACGUUAUAGGGGUGUUGGAGUUAGUUGUAUUAGAGCUAACAUUAGGCGUUUCUAGGUGUUAAGGAGAAGGAACGAGUAUAAGCAAAUGUGUAUACCUUAUAGGUUAAGGUCUUGAUAUAACUCUACUAUAGGCUUUUGUAAGUUAGCUAAGAAUGUUAUUUGACAUUCAACAUGUGUUAGAAGAUAGAGGUGAUAGUCUAAAGUCGUGAUCGCGAUAAUCUAUUCAACGCUACAAAUGUGUGUAUUGUAAGCUGCAGAUUACAUUAUGGACAUUUGAGCAUUGAGUGAAAAUUGUGUGCAUCACUUUUAAGAAUCUGCUAGGAUAUAGUAGAUGCCUUAUAUCUGAUGCAGUUGUACCAUGACAAGUUUCUAACUGCUAUGAAUUGACUUCAAAUAAAAGUUUAUAUCCUUUUAGAAUAAAAUACUAGAGAUAUUAGCAAUAAGGUAUAGAAAAAUUCUAUGAGAGCGAGAAUGUACUCAAAAAACGUAAUUGUUUUUGUGUUGUUUAUCAUUAAAAAGAGGAAUUUGAUAAAUAUUAUGAUAUAAGAGAAAUGAAAAAAAGGAGAGGUAUGAGUAGGUGAAAUAGGCUAGAAGAUGUUAGUGACCAAUUUUCUUGUUCACUUUUUACUGUGAUGAUUGUUUGAUAUCGAAACAAAGUUUUAACCUUCGAGAGAAAUAAAUUUGAAUUAUAAUAAUAACAGAUUUAGGAGUUUUAAAGAAAGUUUAAUUAUCUAAACAUUAUGUAAGAGGGGAUUGAAGAUACAAGGAGAAUACGCACAUAAAAUAAGUGAUAGUUAUGAGAUGGUAGGUGUGAUUAAGGGGUUAAUUUAUCUCAUUAAUGACAUAUUAGUUACUCUUGCUAGGAAAAAAAUAAGGAAGAUUAUAGAGUUUAUCCAACUUUUAAGAACAUGAUAUAGAUAGUGUAUGAUUUCGUAAUGUACUUUUUGAUAAAUAUUUCGAUUCAUCACUUGGAAGUGGAUAGGGUUGUCUUUAAGAUUAUAUUGAAGGUCUAUGUUUGAAAAUCAAAUUAAUAAUAACCGCAAUAGUUUAUUUUUUUUCCCUUUUUAGAAGUAUUGUUAUAUUUGAUAAGAUUAGAUAAAUUAUUUUGGGUGAUAUUAUUUGAGAUAAUAUUGUUGUUUAUUGGAAGUUUAGUUUUUAUCUAUAUUGGUGAUAUAGUUAGAUUUUAAACACUUUAAUCGGUACAAGUAAUUAUUAUUGAUAGGUUAUAUUGGUAUCUGUUUAUAUAUAAAUAUGUGUAUAUAUAUAUAUAUAUGUUUUGAAUAUUGGUAUUUAGUUUCUUAAUACGAUUGUGCAAAGUAUAGGUAUGAAAAUAUGAAAAUAUAAUUAUUUAUAUUUCCUUAGUUAUUUACUGAUUUCUAGAUAUAACCCUUAUUCCUCCAAUAGAUUGUUGAAUAAAUGAAUAAGAUUAUUUUUGUAUAGCAUAGUGUGAUAUUGUGGUUGAUUAUUAGCAAGAAUAAAUUAUGUUAGUAUAAACUUUAUGUUAUUAUCUAUUGCUAAGAGCUACGUGGACCUGAUCCUCUAUUGGAGGUACGUAGGCAGGCUUCGGGUGCGGUCCAAAUAUAACAUAUGUUAAGACUUUAAUUAGCAAAUUGUAGUGAUGUAACAUAUGCUGGACUCUAUGCUACACCUUGGAUAACCAAGGCGUGGUAUUAAUCCAUGGUUAAUUAAGAUAAAAUUCUUAAAUGGUGUAGAAAAACCUAAAACGCUCUCAUCAUCGCUAUUGCUCGCUGCCAAAUUUAUUUUUCCGACUUCGUCCUUCGCACAAAAAGUUGGCCUUCUCGCUUCACCACCAUUUUGGCCUCAGAAAAGUAGAUAUUGCCUUCGUGCUUUCACCCAACUCUAUUCACCUUUCGAUCCUUUAUUUCUAUAUCUUCUCUCUCGGUGUCGUUACCUCUCCUAAAAAAUCAAUUAUCUUUAAACUUGAGAUUCUUCACCAAAUUCAGCUGUCGAAACCUGUACUUGUGUUCGUCACCUCGAAUGCUACUCAUACAAUUCCUAAGCUCAAAACAAUCGUACUCGACUCUCCCGAGUUUGAAUUGCUGACAAUGAGCCUAGCUGGAAGGAGGGAAGGUUUACCAAUUGGACCCUGGGAUAAUUCUCUAUCCUCACGGACUACUGGUCGAGUUAAUGGAUUGGUUUUGGCUCAUCGAAAUUUCAGAUGCAUGGUGGCCCUAAGUCAUGCGGUUUACACGAGCUGGAUGGCUGCUGCAACUUUCUUUUUUUUCGGUACCUUAUUUUCAUGUUUAUGGUUUAUGUUAUUUCGUGAGAGCUUUAACUAUGGGAGUGGCGGUGGUGUCCAUAGGUAGAUUUGAUAUGAAGACAAUGUUGACAGUAAUUCAGCAGUGUAAGAUAGACUGCACCGGCUGUGGUGCUAAUAACGAAGGAUCCUAGGUUGUUAGAGGGCUAAGAUUUUAGCUCUCUAGAUGUUGUAGGCUGCAGCGUUGCUUCGCUUAGGAAAAGCGUAGUUGAACUGUUCCGUGAACAAUUUCGAAAUUUGAGUUUAAGUCAGCUUAGUUAAACACCAAACUUGGAUUUUUACCAUUAACUGGUGGUUAAUUUCUCAUAUUGGUUAUUCAAUGUGUAGCGUAUGAUCCACCAUUAAGUAAUAAAAAAAUACAGAUGGAACGUCACGUUAGCUGUCGGCAAAUGCUCCCCCGCUUUCAUUUCAAAUUUGGAUUGAAUUGCUAAAUGUUUUUAAAUCCUAACUUAUUGUACCAAGUAAAAUCAUUUUAAUUAAAAUGCAAAAAUUCAUAAAGGUUUAAAUUUUUUAUGCCAUUAUCCAAAAAUAUAUUAAAUGUCAUGAAAUACAUCAUAAUAGUUAAUUGACAAAAGGAGAGAAGCACCACGGUACUUCUCCGUUUCGGUUAGUCAAAUAACCUUAUAGGGGUGUUGGAGUUGGUUGCAUUAGAGCUAAUGUUUAGGCGUUUCUAGGUGUUAAGGAGAAGUAACAAGUAUAAGCAAAUGUGUAUACCUUAUAGGUUAAGGUCUGGAUAUAACUCUACUAUAGGCUUUAGUAACUUGGCUAAGAAUGUUAUUUGACAUUCAACAUGUGUUAGAAGAUACAGGUGAUAGUCUAAAGUCGUGAUUGCGAUAAUCUAUUCAAUGCUACAAAUGUUUGUAUUGUAAGCUGCAGAUUACAUUAUGGACAUUGGAGCAUUAAGUGGAAAUUGUGUGCAUCACUUUUAGGAAUCUGCUAGGAUAUAGUAGAUGCCUUAUAUCUGAUGCAGUUGUACCGUGACAGAAGAUACCAGGAGAAUACGCACAUAAAAUAAGUGAUAGUUAUGAGAUGGUAGGUGUGAUUAAGGGGUUAAUUUAUCUCAUUAAUGAGAUAUUAGUUAGUCUUGCUAUGAAAAAAAUAAGGAAGAUUGUAGAGUUUAUCCAACUUUUAAGAACAUGACACAGAUAGUGUAUGAUUUCGUAAUGUACUUUUUGAUAAAUAUUUUGAUUCAUCACUUGGAAGUGGAUAGGGUUGCCUUUAAGAUUAUAUUGAAGGUCUAUGUUUAAAAACCGAAUUAAUCACUGCAAUAGUUUAUUCUUUUUCCCUUUUUAGAAGCAUUAUUAUAUUUGAUAAGAUUAGAUAAAUUAUUUUGGCGGAAUUGAUAUUAUUUGAGAUAAUAUUGUUGUUUAUNNNNNNNNNNNNNNNNNNNNNNNNNNNNNNNNNNNNNNNNNNNNNNNNNNNNNNNNNNNNNNNNNNNNNNNNNNNNNNNNNNNNNNNNNNNNNNNNNNNNNNNNNNNNNNNNNNNNNNNNNNNNNNNNNNNNNNNNNNNNNNNNNNNNNNNNAAUUAUUUAUGUUUCCUUAGUUAUUUACUGGAUUCCAGAUAUAACUCUUAUUCCUCCAAUAGAUUGUUGAAUAAAUGAAUAAGAUUAUUUUUGUAUAGCAUAGUGUGAUAUUGUGGUUGAUUAUUAGCAAGAAUAAAUUAUGUUAGUAUAAACUUUAUGUUAUUAUCUAUUGUUAAGAGCUACGUCGACCUGAUCCUCUAUUGGAGGUACGUAGGCAGGCUUCGGGUGCGAUCCAAAUAUAACAUAUGUUAAGACUUUAAUUAGCAAAUAGUAGCGAUGUAAAUUCAAGCCAUAUUAACAGAUUUUCAUGUUGAAUAAAUUACUUAUUGGAAAUUUAAUAAGUUUAAUAUGACUAAAAUAAUUAUCAUACAUAUAAUUAUAUUUAUAAGAGUAUAGAUAAAAAUAAAGUCACAAAAGAAAUCACUGAAUUAGAUAAGAUAUAGGAGAACAAUUUUCAUAAAGAGACCAUGAGUGAAUUACACCCUUAAUAUUGCCAAAACAUGACUAUAACUUAGGAUAGAAGCAUACAGAAGUACCUAAAAUGAAUAACUUGGAAAGCUUGUCAAAGGAACGAAAAUUGGCAUGCGAAUAGGUGCAAUUUGUGAUAUAGAACAGCAAUUGAAAGGCAGUGUCACAAUCUAGAUAUAAAACGUAAGUUGGCAUUUGAAAGGCAGUGUCGUGGUUCAGUUAUAAGGCAUAGACGAAGUGUCGCACCUACCCCAAAUCCUCAUUUACUAGCAAACUAAAUGAAAUUGUUUCUUGAAAAAAUAAAGAAUAAUGGCAUAAAAAUCCAAAAUUUUAUUUCUUGGCACAAUAAAUUUGGAUUUAAAAAUAUUUGGCGAUUCUUUCCAGAUUUGAAUUGAAAGUGGGGGAGUAUCUGUCGGUAGCAGGCCAUAUUGUAUUUUUAUAUUACUUGAUGCUGGACUCUACGCUACACCAUGGAUAACCAAGGCGAGGUAUUAAUCGUUGGUUAAAUAAGGUAAAAUUCUUAAAUGGUGUAGAAAAACCUAAAACGCUCUUAUCGACGCCGUCGCUCGCUGCCGAAUUUAUUUUCCCGACUUCGUCCUUCGCACAAAAAGUUGGCCUUCUCGCUUCACCACCAUUUUGGCCUCAGAAAAGGAGAUAUUGCCUUCGUGCUUUCUCCUAACUCUAUUCAGCUUUCGGUCCUUUAUUUCUAUAUCUUCGCUCUCGGUGUCGUUACCUCUCCUAAAAAAUCAAGUGUCUUUAAACUUGAGAUUCUCCACCAAAUUCAGCUAUCGAAACAUGUACUUGUGUUCGUCACGUUGAAUGCUACUCAUACAAUUCCUAAUCUCAAAACAAUCGUACUCGACUCUUCCGAGUUUGAAUCGCUGAUGAUGAGUCUAGCUAACUGUGGAGAAAUGGAAGGAGGGAAGGUUUACCAAUUGGACCCUGGGACAAUUCUCUAUCCUCACGGACUACUGGUCGAGUUAAUGGAUUGGUUUUGGCUCAUCGAAAUUUCAGAUGCAUGGUGGCCCUAAGCCAUGCGGUUUACAUGAGCUGGAUGGCUGCUGCAACUUUCUUUUUUUUUGGUGCCUUAUUUUCAUGUUUAUGGUUUAUGUUAUUUCGUGAGAGCUUUAACUAUGGGAGUGGCGGUGGUGUCCAUAGGUAGAUUUGAUAUGAAGACAAUGUUGACAGUAAUUCAGCAGUGUAAGAUAGACUGCACCGGCUGUGGUGCUAAUAACGAAGGAUCCUAGGUUGUUAGAUGACUAAGAUUUUAGCUCUCUAGAUGUUGUAGGCUGCAGAGUUGCUUCGCUUAGGAAAAGCGUAGUUGAACUGUUUCGUGAACAAUUUCGAAAUUUGAGUUUAAGUCAACUUAGUUAAACACCAAACUUGGAUUUUUACCAUUAACCGGUGGUUAAUUUCUCAUAUUGGUUAUUCAAUGUGUAGCGUAUGAUCCACCAUUAAGUAAUAAAAAAAUACGGAUGGAACGUCACGUUAGCUGUCGGCAAAUGCUCCCCCGCUUUCAUUUCAAAUUUGGAUUGAAUUGCUAAAUGUUUUUAAAUCCUAACUUAUUGUACCAAGUAAAAUCAUUUUAAUUAAAAUGUAAAAAUUCAUAAAGGUUUAAAUUUUUUAUGCCAUUAUCCAAAAAUAUAUUAAAUGUCAUGAAAUACAUCAUAAUAGUUAAUUGACAAAAGGAGAGAAGCACCACGGUACUUCUCCGUUUCGGUUAGUCAAAUAACCUUAUAGGGGUGUUGGAGUUGGUGGUAUUAGAGCUAACGUUUAGGCCUUUCUAGGUGUUAAGGAGAAGUAACAAGUAUAAGCAAAUGUGUAUACCUUAUAGGUUAAGGUCUGGAUAUAACUCUACUAUAGGCUUUAGUAACUUGGCUAAGAAUGUUAUUUGACAUUCAACAUGUGUUAGAAGAUACAGGUGAUAGUCUAAAGUCGUGAUCGCGAUAAUCUAUUCAAUGCUACAAAUGUUUGUAUUGUAAGCUGCAGAUUACAUUAUGGACAUUGGAGCAUUGAGUGGAAAUUGUGUACAUCACUUUUAGGAAUCUGCUAGGAUAUAGUAGAUGCCUUAUAUCUGAUGCAGUUGUACC
rnacentral:lncRNA from 1 species